ACGGUGGUAGUCCCAAGAGGGAACGCGUAACCAGAGGCAUAGUUGCACGAGGGCGUCACGGCACCAACCACGAUGUCAGUGGCGGUGACGGCCGACCAGGUGACAGCAGCAGUGCCGCUGGCCGAAGCGUACACGGACGCCGGCGAGGGGACCGUAAUGGCCGGCGCAAUGGUGUCAGUGACAGUGAUGGUGAUGGUCUUGCUCGCGCUAUUGCCGCUUUUGUCAGUGGCCGUGCAGGUGGCUACGGUGGUGCCGACGGGGUAGACGCCAGAGGUGGAGGGGGCCGCGGGGGAGUAGGUGGUGACAACGUUGAGGUUCGUGUCCACGUUGUCAGUGGCGGUGCAUGUGAAGGAGAUGCCGUCGGCGCCGCCAAGCGUGUUGCCCUCCUUGGUGAUGGCGUUGGUGCUGGAACUGACCGUUGGGGCUGUGUUAUCUGUGGGACAUGCAGGGUGGGGGGGAUUACACGAAUGCGUUUGCAUGUGCGUAAUUGGUGAUUACUAUGUAGCAGAAGCAAGCAAGUGUUCUUCCAAGGUCGGAGCCGCAACAUGCGAAGCCAGUAGGAUCCAUGCCCCGCCGUGCCCCGCCCUGCCUCACUCCGUUCCCCGCGCCCCGCCCCACUGCCACCCAACCCGACCCGACCCGAUCCAACCCAACCCAAGCAACCCGCCAAGACCCGACCCGACCUACAGCAACCCUUGCCCACCCUACCCUCCCCUCCCCGACCCACGUCUCACCGAGAACGACCACAGCGAAUGUCGCGGUGCCGGUAUUGGUUCCGUCAGACGCGGUGCAGGUGACAGUGGUGCUGCCAAAUGGGAAAGAGUCACCAGAGGCAUAGUCACACGAGGGCGUCACGGCACCAACCACGAUGUCAGUGGCGGUGACGGCCGACCAGGUGACAGCAGCAGUGCCGCUGGCCGAAGCGUACACGGACGCCGGCGAGGGGACCGUAAUGGCCGGCGCAAUGGUGUCAGUGACAGUAAUGGUGAUGGUCUUGCUCGCGCUAUUGCCGCUUUUGUCAGUGGCCGUGCAGGUGGCUACGGUGGUGCCGACGGGGUAGACGCCAGAGGUGGAGGGGGCCGCGGGGGAGUAGGUGGUGACAACGUUGAGGUUCGUGUCCACGUUGUCAGUGGCGGUGCAUGUGAAGGAGAUGCCGUCGGCGCCGCCAAGCGUGUUGCCCUCCUUGGUGAUGGCGUUGGUGCUGGUGCUGACGUCUGGAGCUGUGUUAUCUGUGGGCGGACAUGCAGGGUGGGGGGGAUUACACGAAUGCGUUUGCAUGUGCGUAAUUGAUGAUUACUAUGUAGCAGAAGCAAGCAAGUGUUCUUCCAAGGUCGGAGCCGCAACAUGCGAAGCCAGUAGGAUCCAUGCCCCGCCGUGCCCCGCCCUGCCUCACUCCGUUCCCCGCGCCCCGCCCCACUGCCACCCAACCCGACCCGACCCGAUCCAACCCGACUCAACCCCACCCAACCCAACCCAAGCAACCCGCCAAGACCCGACCCGACCUACAGCAACCCUUGCCCACCCUACCCUCCCCUCCCCGACCCACGUCUCACCGAGAACGACCACAGCGAAUGUCGCGGUGCCGGUAUUGGUUCCGUCAGACGCGGUGCAGGUGACAGUGGUGCUGCCAAAUGGGAAAGAGUCACCAGAGGCAUAGUCACACGAGGGCGUCACGGCACCAACCACGAUGUCAGUGGCGGUGACGGCCGACCAGGUGACAGCAGCAGUGCCGCUGGCCGAAGCGUACACGGACGCCGGCGAGGGGACCGUAAUGGCCGGCGCAAUGGUGUCAGUGACAGUAAUGGUGAUGGUCUUGCUCGCGCUAUUGCCGCUUUUGUCAGUGGCCGUGCAGGUGGCUACGGUGGUGCCGACGGGGUAGACGCCAGAGGUGGAGGGGGCCGCGGGGGAGUAGGUGGUGACAACGUUGAGGUUCGUGUCCACGUUGUCAGUGGCGGUGCAUGUGAAGGAGAUGCCGUCGGCGCCGCCAAGCGUGUUGCCCUCCUUGGUGAUGGCGUUGGUGCUGGUGCUGACGUCUGGAGCUGUGUUAUCUGUGGGCGGACAUGCAGGGUGGGGGGGAUUACACGAAUGCGUUUGCAUGUGCGUAAUUGAUGAUUACUAUGUAGCAGAAGCAAGCAAGUGUUCUUCCAAGGUCGGAGCCGCAACAUGCGAAGCCAGUAGGAUCCAUGCCCCGCCGUGCCCCGCCCUGCCUCACUCCGUUCCCCGCGCCCCGCCCCACUGCCACCCAACCCGACCCGACCCGAUCCAACCCGACUCAACCCCUCCCAACCCAACCCAAGCAACCCGCCAAGACCCGACCCGACCUACAGCAACCCUUGCCCACCCUACCCUCCCCUCCCCGACCCACGUCUCACCGAGAACGACCACAGCGAAUGUCGCGGUGCCGGUAUUGGUUCCGUCAGACGCGGUGCAGGUGACAGUGGUGCUGCCAAAUGGGAAAGAGUCACCAGAGGCAUAGUCACACGAGGGCGUCACGGCACCAACCACGAUGUCAGUGGCGGUGACGGCCGACCAGGUGACAGCAGCAGUGCCGCUGGCCGAAGCGUACACGGACGCCGGCGAGGGGACCGUAAUGGCCGGCGCAAUGGUGUCAGUGACAGUAAUGGUGAUGGUCUUGCUCGCGCUAUUGCCGCUUUUGUCAGUGGCCGUGCAGGUGGCUACGGUGGUGCCGACGGGGUAGACGCCAGAGGUGGAGGGGGCCGCGGGGGAGUAGGUGGUGACAACGUUGAGGUUCGUGUCCACGUUGUCAGUGGCGGUGCAUGUGAAGGAGAUGCCAUCGGCGCCGCCAAGCGUGUUGCCCUCCUUGGUGAUGGC
rnacentral:lncRNA from 1 species